GUUGAUACCGGACUGAGGUCUGGUCCCGGAGCCUCCGGAGCCCCCCACAGACCUGGCCCUGGCUCCAAGGUGCUGGCUAGUGCUGGACGAGGCUCCGGAGGCUCCGGACGCACUAACUUCACAGAAACCCCAGACCAGUGUUUUGGAGGUGUAACUGCAGAGUGACACAGACACACCACCGCACAAGUUACAAACUCUAUACUUCAGAGGCUCCACUAUCGUCAUGGUCCCUAAGAAUCCCUCCAUUAGUAGAUAAAAUGACAAAAGCCUGCCACCCUGACAUCUGUGGUCAUGAAAUCCUCUAAAAGACUGUUGCUGACUCACCUGAAGGACAUCACAGCUCUCUGCUGGACCCCCUGCAGAUUGCUUACUGCGCAAACAGGUCAGUGGAUGAUGGAGUCAACAUGGGACUGUGUUACAUCAACACUUCAACUUCCCAGGGACAUUCGUAAGAAUCUUGUUCAUUAUUCAGCAACACCACUCAACACCACCAUCCCAGACAUCCAUCACACCAAACUCACUCAGCUCACUGUGACAGCCCCCACCUGUCAGUGGAUCACAACCAUCUCGACAGACCGGGGGCAGCAGGUGGCGAGGCAAGGGGAAAUCACAUCCUGCACCCAAAGCAUUAGCACUGGCAGCCCCCAGCAAUGUGUGCUCUCCCCACUGCUUUUCUCUCUACACCAACAACUGUGCCUUAGGAGUCUGUUAAACUCCUGAAGUUUGCAAAUGAUACAAGUGUCAUCUGCCUUAUCUGGUGAUCCUGUGUGGUCAGAACAACCUGGAACUGAACGCUCUAAAAAACUGUGGAGAUGAUAGUGGAUUUCAGGAUGAGCCCUCCAACACUGCCCUCCCUCACCAUACUGAACAGCUCUGCGUCUGCUAUAGCAGCCAUCAGGUUUCUGGGUCCGCAAGUGGAUUUUGAAAAUAGACACUAUCAGGGAAAAAGGCUUGGCAGAGGAUGUACUGCCUGCACCAGCUCAGUGAGUUGCACCUGCCUCAGGAGUUGCUAAUACAAUUCUACACAGCAAUAAUCCAGUCCGCUCUCUGCACAUCCAUCACUGUCUGGUUUGGAUCAGCCAAACAGGACAGGAACAGACUACAGCGGACAGUCAGGACUGUAAAAAAAUAAUCAUUGGUGCAGCCUACCCUUAAUUCAGGACUUAUAUACCUCCAGAGUCAGGAAACAGGCAGGUAACAUCACUGCAGACCCUCACAGCCUGUACACACAACCUGUUUGAACUCUCUGUCCAUCAGCCCCUGGUCACUCCUUGGCAGUGCUACUGCUGUAGUUUGCUGUUUGUAUUGUGUCACAUAGUGAGGUGUUUCUUAGUCUGAAUUUAUAUAAAUACUGUCAAUACCGUUAUUGAUAUUAAUUUAUUGAGCAGGACACUUCACAGAGAAACAAGCUACAGCAGCAAUACUGACUCUGUGAGGCUACAAAGCAGUGCUUCAGGCUCACAUUAACAUGCUAAUAUGCUUAAAAUUAAAAUGUUAACAUGGUGAUUUAAGCAGGCAGUGUUUACUAUGGUCACUAUCUGAUUCUUGCUGAUUCACGCUACUUAACAAUACACACAAAGUACAAUAUCUAAUAGUUGUUAAGAAAUAAACCCACUGACAUCUGCCAGACUGCUAAUGUGGCUAAAAGAAAACUUGUCUCUGCUCUCAGGUGAACAGACUAUUUAAAAACAACACUAUCCCUGAGUGACAUACUUUGGCAUGUUUAUACUGUUUCUGAUUAUAUAUUGGCACCAACAUAUAAGCUAAUACCUGGCUCUAAUGUUGUACCUUUAAGGGGUAUCACCACCUAAAUUAAGAAUUCCAAUAUGUUAUUCAAAUGGCCCCGGAAAGCUCAGUCCAUAUUUAUACACAUUAGCUACUCUCUC